GGAUUAGAUACCCUGGUAGUCCUAGCUGUAAACGAUGGGCACUAGGUUGCGGGGGUUUCGAUGGCUCUCGUUUCCGUAACUAAUGCGUUAAGUGCCCCGCCUGGGGAGUACGGUCGCAAGGCUAAAACUCAAAGGAAUUGACGGGGGCUCACACAAGCGGUGGAGCAUGUUGCUUAAUUCGAAGCAACGCGAAGAACCUUACCCAGGUUCGAAGUGCUAGGAUUAGCUUCCUGAAAGGGAAGUGACGCCCUCGUGGUGGAACUAGUAUAGGUGUUGCAUGGCUGUCGUCAGCUCGUGUUG
rnacentral:rRNA from 1 species